UGGCCGUGCCAGGCGUGCACAUGUCCCUGCCAGGCGUGCACACGGGCGUGUGUGCCUGAACCGGAGAUGUAGAUGUAUAUAUGGGGCUUGAUUUAUAUCUAAUGGCACGUAUAAAGCUUUUGAAGGUGGCUGCAAUGUAAAAAGUAAUGACUUUAUUACCCCUGAAAGGUUCUGCGGUUCGCAGUUAACACUCCUCUGAAUUACAAUUCAUUACGCUCUCCAAAGCCAACCUGCAUCAGAACACCUACCUGUGCUUAUUCCCAAUCACAGGCAUCGUUCAUUCUAAAAAUCAUAGCAAAUUAAGCACUUGGUGACAACUAAAUCUGUUUCAUUAUCGUGCCGUGUUUGAGAUUCCAGAGGUGACUUCCCAGAUCGCAUCUCAAAACCUACAGUCAGGAGCUAAUUUUACAGAUGCUUUCAUGAAUGGCAGCGAGGAUGUUCUUACCAUCAGCAUGCCCUUAAUUCCAGCACCGUAAAAAUGCCUCGAUUUAAAUGGAAACUCGCUGCCUUAAAAAUAAUAUUUCAUCCUGGCUGGAUAAUUAUUAAUAUUAGCAUUUGAUCGCAAAAGUGCUGGCUCCCCCUCGUUCCUGUACCCCCCCACCCCACCCCACAGCGCUUCGCAUUGUCAUGUGAUUGGAGGGAGAUAACAAAUCUCAAGAAAGAAAAGGAGUGAGAAGACAUUUUUAACACGGCAUGACCGCAGAUUAAUAAUGCAGAUUCUCUCCCUGCCCUCUUCAAACUUAGAAAAGCAGGGCCACUGGAACAGCCUCAAGAGCCAAAUGCUAUCUCUGAUUCAUCAGCACACAUCGUGCACAAGAGCAAGAGGUGGUUUCGUAAGAUACCUGGAACAAAAAGUCUUUAUCAUUUUAGAUCAGAAUUUGUUUACCAGGGACAUUAUUUAACCUAAGGAAGACGGGCAGAAAUCUGAAAAUCUGCCUUUAAUUCACUCUGUUAUGAUCUGUAUUAUUGUUCUUGCAGUUCUCUUUUUAGGUGAUUUUACUGUAGGCAGGCUUGAGCAACACAGGAUGAGCUACUUUGUGGAGAGUUGAAUCCUAAGGUCUGGAUUCUUGAUUUUAAUUUUGGUGCUUCCCAACCAGAUGCACCCAUUUUUUUUUUUUCCUUUUGAAAUGCACUACUUGACAAAUGUAAAAUAAGCACUGAAACCAGAUGUACAUUGUAUUGUACCCAAGGAAUACUUACAGUACCUGAGAAAGAGCGCUGUGUGGAGGGUUUUUUUGUUUAGUUUGGUUGUUACCAUAGUACAUCAAUUAUUUUGUGCUAUUUUAUAUCAUUUUACCUUCAUGCUUUGGCAUACAAUAAAACCAGUAUCUGUUCAUAUUCUCA
rnacentral:lncRNA from 1 species